rnacentral:rRNA from 1 species
AGGACGAACGCUGGCGGCGUGGAUUAGGCAUGCAAGUCGCGCGACGGACGAGCUUCGGCUCGUUACGGAGCGGCGAACGGGUGAGUAACACGUGAACAAUCUGUCCCCACGUUCCGGAUAAUUGGCCGAAAGGCCUUGUAAUACGGGCGAGGGUCCUCUGGAGGCAUCUUUGGAGGAAGGAACGCGCAAGUGGCGCGGGGAGGAGUUCGCGGCCUAUCAGUUAGUUGGUGAGGUAAUGGCUCACCAAGACGACGACGGGUAGCUGGU